CCAAGGAGUGCAACAUGCGUGCGAGUCUUGGGGUGACAAACCCGUCGGCGCAAUGAAAGUGAAGGCAGGCGUUGGUCUGCUUAGGCGAGAGCCUCCUCGGGGGCACAUCGUCGACCGAUCCCAGGCUACGCUGUGGCGGGAUUUGAGUAAGAGCGUGCCUGUUGCGACCCGAAAGAUGGUGAACUAUGCCUGAAUAGGGUGAAGCCAGAGGAAACUCUGGUGGAAGCUCGUAGCGAUUCUGACGUGCAAAUCGAUCGUCAAAUUUGGGUAUAGGGGCGAAAGACUAAUCGAACCAUCUA
rnacentral:rRNA from 1 species